GAAUCAACGCUGGCGGCGUGCCUCAGACAUGCAAGUCGAACGCGAAACCUUCCUCGGGAGGGAGUAGAGUGGCGCACGGGUGAGUAACACGUAGGUAAUCUACCUUGGGUGGGGAAUAACAGCCGGAAACGGCUAGCUAAUACCGCAUAAUGCAGCGGCUCGACAUCGAGACAGUUGUUAAAGCGGGGGAUCGUAAGACCUCGCGCCUAAAGAGGAGCCUGCGGCAGGAUUAGCUAGUUGGUAAGGUAAUGG
rnacentral:rRNA from 1 species